rnacentral:rRNA from 1 species
AUACGUAGGGUGCAAGCGUUAAUCGGAAUUACUGGGCGUAAAGCGUGCGCAGGCGGUUUUGUAAGACAGAGGGGAAAUCCCCGGGCUCAACCUGGGAACUGCCUUUGUGACUGCAAGGCUAGAGGACGGCAGAGGGGGAUGGAAUUCCGCGUGUAGCAGUGAAAUGCGUAGAUAUGCGGCGGAACACCGAUGGCGAAGGCAAUCCCCUGGGCCUGGACUGACGCUCAUGCACGAAAUCGUGGGGAGCAAACAGGAUUAGAUACCCGGGUAGUCCACGCCCUAAACGAUGUCAACUGGUUGUUGGGUCUUCAUUGACUCAGUAACGAAGCUAACGCGUGAAGUUGACCGCCUGGGGAGUACGGCCGCAAGGUUGAAACUCAAAUGAAUUGACGGGG